UCACAAUUAAAUGUCCAAAAAAAUCAUUCAAGUAAAGAAACACAAGGGAAACAAAGUUCUCCACACUGAAGGCUAAGGAGAAACCAUGUCUAUGACAUAUGACAGCAGGGAAAUAAAUACAAAUUCACCAGAUGACGAGGCCCACCUGGAUAAGACAAGACUGGCUGGAGGGAGCUGAUUGGUUGACACAAGGAAGAAUGCUGACGAGAACUGGUGGAGUUAUAAAACAAACAACAACAAAAAACCGAGUGGAAGACCCAUUAAAAUGUUCCACAGUGGAAUGUGACAAAACAUGAAACAAAGCGAAAUGUCAUCAAAACUGCGUCAACAGGAACCACCAUUUGUCGCCAGGGAUACGUUGGAACUGCCCAUAAUAGGUGAAACUCAUUUCUUUUAUAUAGUUUUAGCCCUCCCACACACUUGAAACCCAUUCUGAUUUUUUUUUUAACACAAAACGCUUCCGCCAACUUGAUAAUUACCCUAGCUUAAUGCUAACACAUCGGACCUAAUGGAAAACAUCAUGUAAGGGCAAUUAGCAUCGGUGUUAUCAAAAUGCUAAACAUUGACACAACUGCUACUUUAACACCAAGGGAGCAGCAACACAUACAAACAGAACAAACAAUACUCAAACCUCAAGGGCAUAUAUUCUUGUUUUAUGGGGCCGUACCUUCCUUCCUUCCUUCCUUUUUCUUCAUCUAUGACGUUGCACCUACGUUCAGUAAAGCUCAGUGUACAUUCCGCCACCUAGUGGAAAAGCAUCACGAUCCCUCGUGUCAUACCAUUUUGCUUUUGGUGGGCUUUUGCAUUGUUUUAAAUACAUUUAGGUUUGUUUCAUGUUAGGUCUCAUUUCCCCAUGUCUCUUUAUUAUGUCUUGUUUGCUCAUAUAGGUUUUCGUUUCCACCUGUUCUCGUGAGCCCUGCUCCUUGUGUCUACCAAUCAGCUCCUUCCAGUCAUUUCUUCCGUGCCUUGACCAAGCUGCUCCCUAACAAGAAGAAUGGACGCAGCCCAUUCACAGGCAAAUCAAGCUAAUCCAGCGUGCCCCUGCACUCUCAAUGGAGAAGUCACAGUCCUUCCUGGCCCAUUCCAUCACCAGCCCCCUCCUCCCAGCCCCCCACCCCCCACAUCCCCCUCGUCUUCACAAGCCUUCAAAGUUAGCCCAACUCCUCCGAGAGACAACAUUGCUCUUUGUGCGCGCCUCUCCCUCGCCAACAAAUGGGUAAACAGCUCGGUAAACGUGUACCAAGUCAGAGCGGAAACAAAAACUCGGGCGCAUAAUCACUUUGCUUUCGCUGUAAUCUGCUUUCAGCGUGCUUCCACUUCUGUUUGGUUUCCACCUGUUGAUUUUGCAGGCUGAUUUGAGCCCGAGGAAAUGACAUAAAAGUGUGAACGUGUCCGUGGAAUGUACAAAAGUUCAAUGUAAUUUUUUUUUUAAUUUAAUAUUGAACGAUUAAAGUGUCAGCUAA